GAAAGGUGAGGCACGCGCGUCAAGGAUGAGAUGGUAGUGGAACUGGCGACGACGCCGAUGGUGGGGGAAAUGGCAAAUAAAUAAGGAGUUCCUCACCUUCCAAGGGAAGUUGCGCCAACUUCCCUAGGAAGCUAGGCAACCGGUGCCUCUUGGGGAUGGAAACUGGCUCCUCGAAGAACGUGCGGGAACAGGAACCGGUACGGCAACCGCCAGAGGCCGUGGCAUCAAAUAGUUGAUCUGAAUCAUCGAUGUGCAGAUGAACAGCUACGAGGAGUAGGC
rnacentral:lncRNA from 1 species